rnacentral:rRNA from 1 species
GAUGAACGCUGGCGGCGUGCCUAAUACAUGCAAGUCGAGCGAACGGACGAGAAGCUUGCUUUUCUGAUGUUAGCGGCGGACGGGUGAGUAACACGUGGAUAACCUACCUAUAAGACUGGGAUAACUUCGGGAAACCGGAGCUAAUACCGGAUAAUACUUUGAACCGCAUGGUUCAAAAGUGAAAGACGGUCUUGCUGUCACUUAUAGAUGGAUCCGCGCUGCAUUAGCUAGUUGGUAAGGUAACGGCUUACCAAGGCAACGAUGCAUAGCCGACCUGAGAGGGUGAUCGGCCACACUGGAACUGAGACACGGUCCAGACUCCUACGGGAGGCGGCAGUAGGGAAUCUUCCGCAAUGGGCGAAAGCCUGACGGAGCAACGCCGCGUGAGUGAUGAAGGUCUUCGGAUCGUAAAACUCUGUUAUUAGGGAAGAACAUAUGUGUAAGUAACUGUGCACAUCCUGACGGUACCUAAUCAGAAAGCCACGGCUAACUACGUG